UACGUAGGGUGCAAGCGUUGUCCGGAAUUAUUGGGCGUAAAGAGCUCGUAGGCGGUUUGUCGCGUCUGCUGUGAAAACGCGAGGCUCAACCUCGCGCCUGCAGUGGGUACGGGCAGACUAGAGUGCGGUAGGGGAGAUUGGAAUUCCUGGUGUAGCGGUGAAAUGCGCAGAUAUCAGGAGGAACACCGGUGGCGAAGGCGGGUCUCUGGGCCGGAACUGACGCUGAGGAGCGAAAGCGUGGGGAGCGAACAGG
rnacentral:rRNA from 1 species